rnacentral:rRNA from 1 species
UGGCUCAGAACGAACGCUGGCGGCAGGCCUAACACAUGCAAGUCGAGCGCCGUAGCAAUACGGAGCGGCAGACGGGUGAGUAACGCGUGGGAACGUACCUUUUGGUUCGGAACAACACAGGGAAACUUGUGCUAAUACCGGAUAAGCCCUUACGGGGAAAGAUUUAUCGCCGAAAGAUCGGCCCGCGUCUGAUUAGCUAGUUGGUAGGGUAAUGGCCUACCAAGGCGACGAUCAGUAGCUGGUCUGAGAGGAUGAUCAGCCACAUUGGGACUGAGACACGGCCCAAGAUCCUACGGGAGGCAGCAGUGG